UACGUAGGGGGCAAGCGUUGUCCGGAUUUAUUGGGCGUAAAGAGCGUGUAGGCGGCUUUACAGGUCCGUUGUGAAAACUCGAGGCUCAACCUCGAGACGCCGGUGGAAACCGUAAGGCUAGAGUCCGGAAGAGGAGAGUGGAAUUCCUGGUGUAGCGGUGAAAUGCGCAGAUAUCAGGAAGAACACCCGUGGCGAAGGCGGUUCUCUGGGACGGUACUGACGCUGAGACGCGAAAGCGUGGGGAGCGAACGGG
rnacentral:rRNA from 1 species